AAAUAUAUUUAAAAAAUUAAAACCCACCUCACUAUUUUCUCAUUCCUAAAAUUUGCAUGGCCCAAACUCUGACCCGAGUUCUCCAUUCAAUCCCGCCACAAGACAGCGACUACUUCCUCGGCUGCAGCCACGACCAACAACAAGAGUAAGAAUCUAUUUGUCUGACUCCUCGUUGUUUAUCUUGGGGUUAACCAGUCGGUGACUCAACGGUGAGGCCUGUAUAGAGAGUGCAUGGGCCCAUUGGCAAAAACUAGGCCGACCCAAGUUUGUCGUUGCAACGAUGGUUGACAAUUCAGAGCUCCCGUUCCGGAUGCUUUGUAGAAAGAACGGUGCUGAGGCUGCAUAUACACCCAUGCUGCAUUCACGAAUUUUUACUGAGACUCAAAAAAGUAUAUAAAUCAAGAAUUUGCCACCUGUAAGGAGGAUCGCCCAUUGUUUGUUCACUUUUGUGCCGAUGAUCCAGUCACAUUAUUAGAUGCUGCGCGGAGAGUGGAACCUUUCCGUGAUUAUGUUGACAUCAAUUUAGAGUAAUAUAUUUUCUCCCCCGGUUUAUUUAACUUUUCCAGUCUGAUUGAUUUUAUUAAAUUAAAACAAUAACGAAGAAUCUUCA